CGGCAGCGAAGUGGGUGAUGUCAAGCUUCCAAGAAAAGCCCUAUACCCGUUAAGGCAUGAUGGCCUGUACCCGAAACCGACACAGGUGGGGUGGUAGAGAAUACCGAGGGGCGCGAGAUAACUCUCUCUAAGGAACUCGGCAAAAUGGCCCCGUAACUUCGGGAGAAGGGGUGCCACCGCAAGGUGGUCGCAGUGAAGAGGCCCAGGCGACUGUUUACCAAAAACACAGGUCUCCGCUAAGUCGCAAGACGAUGUAUGGGGGCUGACGCCUGCCCAGUGCCGGAAGGUUAAGGAAGCUGGUCAGCGAAAGCGAAGCUAGCGACUGAAGCCCCGGUGAACGGCGGCCGUAACUAUAACGGUCCUAAGGUAGCGAAAUUCCUUGUCGGGUAAGUUCCGACCCGCACGAAAGGCGUAACGAUCUGGGCGCUGUCUCGGAGAGAGGCUCGGCGAAAUAGAAUUGUCUGUGAAGAUGCGGACUACGUGCACCCGGACAGAAAGACCCUAUGAAGCUUUACUGUAGCUUGGUAUUGUGCUCGGGCUCGGAAUGCGCAGGAUAGGUGGGAGGCUAUGAACCAUUGCUUGUGGGUGAUGGUGAGCCACUGGUGAGAUACCACUCUUUCCGAGCUAGAGUUCUAACAGCCACCCGUUAUCCGGGGGCUGGACAGUAUCAGGUGGGCAGUUUGACUGGGGCGGUCGCCUCCUAAAAGGUAACGGAGGCGCGCAAAGGUUUGCUCAGGCUGGUUGGAAAUCAGCCGACGAGUGUAAAAGCAGAAGCAAGCUUGACUGUGAGACCUACAAGUCGAACAGGGAGGAAACUCGGCUUUAGUGAUCCGACGGUUCUGCGUGGAAGGGCCGUCGCUCAACGGAUAAAAGUUACUCUAGGAUAACAGGCUGAUCUCCCCCAAGAGUUCACAUCGACGGGGAGGUUUGGCACCUCGAUGUCGGCUCAUCGCAACCUGGGGCUGAAGUCGGUCCCAGGGGUUGGGCUGUUCGCCCAUUAAAGCGGUACGCGAGCUGGGUUCAGAACGUCGUGAGACAGUUCGGUCCAUAUCCGGUGCAUGCGCAGGAAUAUUGAGAGGACUUCUCCCUAGUACGAGAGGACCGGGAGGAACGCACCUCUGGUGUACCAGUUAUCGUGCCAACGGUAAACGCUGGGUAGCCAUGUGCGGAGAGGAUAACCGCUGAAAGCAUCUAAGUGGGAAGCCCACCUCAAGAUGAGUAUUCCCAUGGGGUAACCCAGUAAGGUCACGGGAAGAACACCCGUUGAUAGGCUCUACGUGGAAGCGCAGUAAUGUGUGAAGCGGAGGAGUACUAAUAGACCGAGGGCUUGAC
rnacentral:rRNA from 1 species